rnacentral:rRNA from 1 species
AGUGAACGCUGGCGGUAGGCCUAACACAUGCAAGUCGAACGGCAGCACAGUAAGAGCUUGCUCUUACGGGUGGCGAGUGGCGGACGGGUGAGGAAUACAUCGGAAUCUACUUUUUCGUGGGGGAUAACGUAGGGAAACUUACGCUAAUACCGCAUACGACCUACGGGUGAAAGCAGGGGAUCUUCGGACCUUGCGCGAUUGAAUGAGCCGAUGUCGGAUUAGCUAGUUGGCGGGGUAAAGGCCCACCAAGGCGACGAUCCGUAGCUGGUCUGAGAGGAUGAUCAGCCACACUGGAACUGAGACACGUUCCAGACUCCUACGGGAGGCAGCAGUGGGGAAUAUUGGACAAUGGGCGCAAGCCUGAUCCAGCCAUACCGCGUGGGUGAAGAAGGCCUUCGGGUUGUAAAGCCCUUUUGUUGGGAAAGAAAAGCAGCAGGUUAAUACCCCGCUGUUCGGACGGUACCCAAAGAAUAAGCACCGGCUAACUUCGU